rnacentral:rRNA from 1 species
GACGAACGCUGGCGGCGCGCUUAACACAUGCAAGUCGAACGGAAAGGCCUGCUUUCCCUUGUGGAUUGCGGGUACUCGAGUGGCGAACGGGUGAGUAACACGUGAGUGAUCUGCCCCCAGCUUGGGUAUAAGCCUGGGAAACUGGGUCUAAUUCCCGAUAGGACUGCAGGGUGGUGCCUGUGGUGGAAAACGAUUUUCUAGUGGUUGGGGAUGAGCUCGCGGCCUAUCAGCUUGUUGGUGGGGUAAUGGCCUACCAAGGCGGCGACGGGUAGCCGGCCUGAGAGGGUGGACGGCCACAUUGGGACUGAGAUACGGCCCAGACUCCUACGGGAGGCAGCAGUGGGGAAUAUGACACAAUGGGCGGAAGCCUGAUGCAGCGACGCCGCGUGGGGGAUGACGGCCUUCGGGUUGUAAACUCCUUUCGACCGCGAGGAAGCCACCUGGUUGGAAGGGUGGUGACGGUAGUGGUAGAAGAAGCACCGGCUAACUACGUG